rnacentral:rRNA from 1 species
GACGAACGCUGGCGGCGUGCUUAACACAUGCAAGUCGAGCGAUGAAGUUUCUUCGGAAAUGGAUUAGCGGCGAACGGGUGAGGAACACGUGAAGAAUCUGCCCUCCACUUUGGGAUAACACCGGGAAACCGGUGCCAAUACUGAAUAUUGAAACAUAAGUGGCAUCACUGAGUUUUGAAAGAAUUUCGGUGGAGGAUGACUUCGCGGCCUAUCAGCUAGUUGGUGAGGUAAUGGCUCACUAAGGCAACGACGGGUAGCCGGCCUGAGAGGGCGACCGGCCACACUGGGACUGAGACACGGCGCAGACUCCUACGGGAGGCAGCAGUGGGGAAUAUUGGGCAAUGGAAGAAACUCUGACCCAGCGACGCCGCGUGCGGGAUGAAGGCCUUCGGGUUGUAAACCGCUUUCAGUAGGGAAGAAGCGAAAGUGACGGUACCUACAAAAGAAGCACCGGCUAACUAUGUGCCAGCAGCCGCGGUAA